UACGAAGGGGGCUAGCGUUGCUCGGAAUCACUGGGCGUAAAGCGCACGUAGGCGGCUUGUUAAGUCAGGGGUGAAAUCCUGGAGCUCAACUCCAGAACUGCCUUUGAUACUGGCGAGCUUGAGUCCGGGAGAGGUGAGUGGAACUGCGAGUGUAGAGGUGAAAUUCGUAGAUAUUCGCAAGAACACUAGUGGCGAAGGCGGCUCACUGGCCCGGUACUGACGCUGAGGUGCGAAAGCGUGGGGAGCAAACAGG
rnacentral:rRNA from 1 species